rnacentral:rRNA from 1 species
UAGAGUUUGAUUCCCAUGGCUCAGGACGAACGCUGGCGGCGUGCCUAAUACAUGCAAGUCGAGCGAAUCGAUGGGAGCUUGCUCCCUGAGAUUAGCGGCGGACGGGUGAGUAACACGUGGGCAACCUGCCUAUAAGACUGGGAUAACUUCGGGAAACCGGAGCUAAUACCGGAUACGUUCUUUUCUCGCAUGAGAGAAGAUGGAAAGACGGUUUACGCUGUCACUUAUAGAUGGGCCCGCGGCGCAUUAGCUAGUUGGUGAGGUAAUGGCUCACCAAGGCGACGAUGCGUAGCCGACCUGAGAGGGUGAUCGGCCACACUGGGACUGAGACACGGCCCAGACUCCUACGGGAGGCAGCAGUAGGGAAUCUUCCGCAAUGGACGAAAGUCUGACGGAGCAACGCCGCGUGAACGAAGAAGGCCUUCGGGUCGUAAAGUUCUGUUGUUAGGGAAGAACAAGUACCAGAGUAACUGCUGGUACCU